UACAGGGGGUGCAAACGUUGCUCGGAAUUAUUGGGCGUAAAGCGCGCGUAGGCGGCCACUUAAGUCGGAUGUGAAAGCCCCUGGCUCAACUGGGGAAGUGCACCCGAAACUGAAUGGCUUGAAUGCAAAAGAGGGUCGCGGAAUUCCCGGUGUAGAGGUGAAAUUCGUAGAUAUCGGGAGGAACACCGGUGGCGAAGGCAGCACUCUGGGACGGUACUGACGCUGAGACGCGAAAGCGUGGGGAGCGAACAGG
rnacentral:rRNA from 1 species